ensembl:lncRNA
GUAUGUUCCAUAUGAGUGUUUGACAUUUGAAAUCUGUGUUUAAUGUGUCUGGUUGGUGAUCUUUAGCGGAGGAGGAUGAGUCAGAGUACAGUACAUCUGAGGAGCGGUCCCCUGUGGACAGGUCCCAGGAACCUGAGUCAGCAGGAGAGAAGCCAGAGAGCUGUGGGGUUCGGCCAGCCCAGAGACUGCUGCCUGACGUGGACCGGAGGUGGGGGAGCAGGGGCGCAGCGGUGUCGAGGAAGACCCCAGAUCCAGGCGGCCCGGCCGGGGGCGAGAGACUUGCGGACGGGCCUUCGGAGGUGAGGCUUGGUCCCGCCUUCUGGAAGUCAAAGCCUUUCUGUCUUUGAUCAUCCAGCUUCAUGAUUGGUCUUCACAGGAGGAAGAGAGAAGGUACACUUCUGAUGUCAUUUCCUGUGGGUUGGAAGAUUCCGAGGAAGAGGAGGAGCCUAAUCUCGCAGCCAUUCAGGAGAACAUUUUCAACAAGCCAACCAGGUCGGGGAGGAUUCCCAAACUCUCCCAGCACGUGAUCCGCGCAGCAGCCAGUGAAGAGGAUGAGGAGGAGCCUUCCUCUUGCCCUCCUCCGGGGGGCAGUCACACACGAGCCCUGCUGGGCUCUGGCCGCAGGGGCCAGAUGAAGGCGGGACCCAGCCUGACCCGAGGGCUGCCCCGCUGGGGUAAAUCCCGCCUACUCACCUUACUGGCCUCUACCGAGGAGGAGGAGGAGGAGGAGGAAGAGCAGGUCCCUGCCGGUGCCGAGGACGAGAAUCAGGUGUUUGUGCCGAUGGGGCUGCGCACUGUGGCACCUGUGAGCACAGAGGUGGAGGAAACCAUGGAAGAGCUGGACAUCUCUGUGAACGUUCCUGAAGUCCUGGGAAUAUCCCACAAUGGCGUGUGUCCUGAGUCUUUGUGCAAGAACGCUCUGUCCCCUACUGGGUCUGUUCCCUGCGAGCACCAGCUUGACCUGCUUGUAGAUGUGAUCGAGUUCCUGACUCCGGACCACAUGGAAGGUAGGGACUCAUCUAGGUUCUUACUGGAGACUCGUCUUUGGCCUGAAUUGUGCUGUUUCGUUUACUGUGUGAUUUUUGUCUUUCUACCUCCAGUGCUCCCUCUCUCUCACUCACUCACUCUCUCGCGCUCUCUCUCUCUCUCUCUGUGCGUGUGUGGGGUUGUUUCCUUUCAGUGUCUGAAGAGAGUUAUGCUGAGGCAGCUAGGACCCUGCUGACCAUCGGCCACGCAGCUCACGUGACCCCCACAGCAGAGGCAGUCAUGGGCCAUGCAGCUCACGUGACCCCCACAGCAGAGGCAGUCAUGGGCCGCGCAGCUCACGUGACCCCCACAGCAGAGGCACUCAGCACAGGCAAGAGCUUCACACUUGCCUCCCAUCCAAUACUCAAACAAUAUCUGGUCAGAAUCCAUGAUCAGUGAUG